rnacentral:rRNA from 1 species
AGCAGCCGCGGUAAUUCCAGCUCCAAUAGCGUAUAUUAAAGUUGUUGCAGUUAAAAAGCUCGUAGUUGAAUUUCGGGGUUAGUAGGUUGGUCAUGCCUCUGGUAUGUACUGGUCUCACUGAUUCCUCCUUCCUGAUGAGCCGUAAUGCCAUUAAUUUGGUGUUGCGGGGAAUUUGGACUGUUACUUUGAAAAAAUUAGAGUGUUUAAAGCAAGCUCACGCUUGAAUACAUUAGCAUGGAAUAAUGAAAUAGGACGUUUGAUUCUAUUUUGUUGGUUUCUAGGAUCGACGUAAUGAUUAAUAGGGAUAGUUGGGGGCAUUAGUAUUCAAUUGUCAGAGGUGAAAUUCUUGGAUUUAUUGAAGACUAACUACUGCGAAAGCAUUUGCCAAGGAUGUUUUCAUUAAUCAAGAACGAAAGUUAGGGGAUCGAAGACGAUCAGAUACCGUCGUAGUCUUAACCAUAAACUAUGCCGACUAGGGAUCGGAUGAUGUUAAUUUUUUAAUGACUCAUUCGGCGCCUUACG